rnacentral:lncRNA from 1 species
CCGUUUGGCUUUCUUUGGUUUUAAACCAACUCCUCUUUAGCAUUCAUUUUUACGCUACUUUUCUUUUCAGGUCGCAUUGUACUAUAGAGCCAGAUUGUCAACUGCGAUAAACUAGCAUAACUACACUGAAGGCAAGGAAACUUCCGGUUUACACUAGCUGAGGAUCUCGCUGAUAGUUUUACCCUCUUCAGUCACGAAAAGGUGGAUGUCAGAUUUCAACAGCAUAGAGCAAAGGAGUGGGGAAAAGAGAGGUGUGUUUUUAAGCAGGCCAAUAGAAUGAAAUACCCCUAUAGCUCACACAAGGAGGAUGUAAAAGCAGCAAAGAGUCCUGUGGCACUUUAUAGACUAACAGACGUAUUGGAGCAUGAGCUUUCGUGGAUGAAUACCCACUUCGUCAGAUGCAUGUACAGGGAGGAUGCAGCUUUUCAAAUGACAAAGAGUCUGCAUUCAUCAAAGUGCUGGCAUCCGUACCAAAGCCAUCUAGUCAUCGCAGCCUCGUGUAUUUAG